GAUGAACGCUGGCGGCGUGCCUAACACAUGCAAGUCGAGCGGAGAUAUUAUAGUGCUUGCACUAUAAUAUCUUAGCGGCGGACGGGUGAGUAACACGUGGAUAAUCUGCCUAAUGCUGCGGGAUAACAUCUGGAAACAGGUGCUAAUACCGCAUAAGCUCACACUAACACCUGUUAGAGUGAGAAAAGAUUUAUCGGCAUUAGAGGAGUCCGCGUCUGAUUAGCUAGUUGGUGGGGUAAAAGCCUACCAAGGCGACGAUCAGUAGCCGACCUGAGAGGGUGAUCGGCCACACUGGGACUGAGACACGGCCCAGACUCCUACGGGAGGCAGCAGUGAGGGAUAUUGCACAAUGGACGGAAGUCUGAUGCAGCAACGCCGCGUGAAGGAAGAAGGUUCUCGGAUCGUAAACUUCUAUCGAUGGGGAAGAAAAGAAUGACGGUACCCAAGUAAGAAGCCCCGGCUAACUACGUGCCAGCAGCCGCGGUAAAACGUAGGGGGCAAGCGUUAUCCGGAAUUACUGGGUGUAAAGGGUGAGUAGCCGGCUAGGCAAGUCACAUGUGAAAUUCCAAGGCUCAACCUUGGGACUGCAUGAGAAACUGCGUAGCUAGAGUACAGGAGAGGUUAGCGGAAUUCCUUGUGUAGCGGUGAAAUGCGUAGAUAUAAGGAAGAACACCAGUGGCGAAGGCGGCUAACUGGACUGAAACUGACGGUGAGUCACGAAAGCGUGG
rnacentral:rRNA from 1 species